AUGCGACCCCGUGGGGCUCGCCAGGUGCGGUGCUGCAAUGGAGCUCUUGCAGGUGGCUCCCGAUGCUCCGUUGCAGCGCUCGUCGGUGGGGUCGAAGCUGCAGUGCAGCAGCUCGGUGCUCCAAUGGAGUUCUCGCCGGCUGCUCCCGGUGCUCCGUUGCAGCCCUCGUCGGUGGGAUCGAAGCUGCAGUGCAGCACCGGUGUUCCAAUGGAGCUCUCGCCGGCCGCUCCCAGAGCUCCAAUGGAGCUCUCACCGGCGGCUCAUCGGAGCUGUGAUGCAGCGGCCAGCGACUCCCGGUGCUCCAAUGGAGCUCUCGUCGGCAGUUCUCGGAGCUGUGAUGCAGCGGACGGCGGCGGCUCCGGUGUUGCAAUGCAGUGCUUUGCCCCGGCAACAGCCAUGAUGAUUUUGCAGCGGCGACCUAGACGGGGAUCGAAUAGGGAUGGCUGA
rnacentral:rRNA from 1 species